rnacentral:rRNA from 1 species
UGAGGUUAAGUGACUAAGCGUACACGGUGGAUGCCUAGGCAGUCAGAGGCGAUGAAGGGCGUGCUAAUCUGCGAAAAGCGUCGGUAAGGUGAUAUGAACCGUUAUAACCGGCGAUACCCGAAUGGGGAAACCCAGUGUGUUUCGACACACUAUCAUGUCAUGAAUACAUAGUGGCAUGAGGCGAACCGGGGGAACUGAAACAUCUAAGUACCCCGAGGAAAAGAAAUCAACCGAGAUUCCCCCAGUAGCGGCGAGCGAACGGGGAGGAGCCCAGAACCUGAAUCGGCUUGUGUGUUAGUGGAAGCGUCUGGAAAGUCGCGCAGCAAAGGGUGAUAGCCCCGUACACUAAAAUGCACAGGUCGUGAGUUCGAUGAGUAGGGCGGGACACGUGACAUCCUGUCUGAAUAUGGGGGGACCAUCCUCCAAGGCUAAAUACUCCUGACUGACCGAUAGUGAACCAGUACCGUGAGGGAAAGGCGAAAAGAACCCCGGCGAGGGGAGUGAAAUAGAACCUGAAACCGUGUACGUACAAGCAGUGGGAGCACCUUCGUGGUGUGACUGCGUACCUUUUGUAUAAUGGGUCAGCGACUUAUAUUUUGUAGCAAGGUUAACCGUAUAGGGGAGCCGUAGGGAAACCGAGUCUUAACUGGGCGAAUAGUUGCAAGGUAUAGACCCGAAACCCGGUGAUCUAGCCAUGGGCAGGUUGAAGGUUGGGUAACACUAACUGGAGGACCGAACCGACUAAUGUUGAAAAAUUAGCGGAUGACUUGUGGCUGGGGGUGAAAGGCCAAUCAAACCGGGAGAUAGCUGGUUCUCCCCGAAAGCUAUUUAGGUAGCGCCUCGUGAACUCAUCUUCGGGGGUAGAGCACUGUUUCGGCUAGGGGGCCAUCCCGGCUUACCAAACCGAUGCAAACUCCGAAUACCGAAGAAUGUUAUCACGGGAGACACACGGCGGGUGCUAACGUCCGUCGUGAAGAGGGAAACAACCCAGACCGCCAGCUAAGGUCCCAAAGUCAUGGUUAAGUGGGAAACGAUGUGGGAAGGCAUAGACAGCCAGGAUGUUGGCUUAGAAGCAGCCAUCAUUUAAAGAAAGCGUAAUAGCUCACUGGUCGAGUCGGCCUGCGCGGAAGAUGUAACGGGGCUAAACCAUGCACCGAAGCUGCGGCAGCGACGCUUAGGCGUUGUUGGGUAGGGGAGCGUUCUGUAAGCCGUUGAAGGUGGCCUGUGAGGGUUGCUGGAGGUAUCAGAAGUGCGAAUGCUGACAUAAGUAACGAUAAAGCGGGUGAAAAGCCCGCUCGCCGGAAGACCAAGGGUUCCUGUCCAACGUUAAUCGGGGCAGGGUGAGUCGACCCCUAAGGCGAGGCUGAAAAGCGUAGUCGAUGGGAAACAGGUUAAUAUUCCUGUACUUGGUGUUACUGCGAAGGGGGGACGGAGAAGGCUAGGCUAGCCGGGCGACGGUUGUCCCGGUUUAAGCGUGUAGGGGGUGUGACCUGGUAAAUCCGGUUGCAUAUCAACCCUGAGGCGUGAUGACGAUGCACUACGGUGCAGAAGUAGUUGAUGCCCUGCUUCCAGGAAAAUCCUCUAAGCUCCAGGUAACAUUAAAUCGUACCCCAAACCGACACAGGUGGUCAGGUAGAGAAUACCAAGGCGCUUGAGAGAACUCGGGUGAAGGAACUAGGCAAAAUGGUGCCGUAACUUCGGGAGAAGGCACGCUGGCAUGUAGGUGAAGUCCCUCGCGGAUGGAGCUGAAGCCAGUCGAAGAUACCAGCUGGCUGCAACUGUUUAAUAAAAACACAGCACUGUGCAAACACGAAAGUGGACGUAUACGGUGUGACGCCUGCCCGGUGCUGGAAGGUUAAUUGAUGGGGUCAGCCGCAAGGCGAAGCUCUUGAUCGAAGCCCCAGUAAACGGCGGCCGUAACUAUAACGGUCCUAAGGUAGCGAAAUUCCUUGUCGGGUAAGUUCCGACCUGCACGAAUGGCGUAAUGAUGGCCAGGCUGUCUCCACCCGAGACUCAGUGAAAUUGAACUCGCUGUGAAGAUGCAGUGUACCCGCGGCAAGACGGAAAGACCCCGUGAACCUUUACUAUAGCUUGACACUGAACAUUGAGCCUUGAUGUGUAGGAUAGGUGGGAGGCUUUGAAGCGUGGACGCCAGUCUGCGUGGAGCCAUCCUUGAAAUACCACCCUUUAAUGUUUGAUGUUCUAACUCGGCCCCAUAAUCUGGGGUGAGGACAGUGUCUGGUGGGUAGUUUGACUGGGGCGGUCUCCUCCCAAAGAGUAACGGAGGAGCACGAAGGUUAGCUAAUCACGGUCGGACAUCGUGAGGUUAGUGCAAAGGCAUAAGCUAGCUUGACUGCGAGAGUGACGGCUCGAGCAGGUACGAAAGUAGGUCUUAGUGAUCCGGUGGUUCUGAAUGGAAGGGCCAUCGCUCAACGGAUAAAAGGUACUCCGGGGAUAACAGGCUGAUACCGCCCAAGAGUUCAUAUCGACGGCGGUGUUUGGCACCUCGAUGUCGGCUCAUCACAUCCUGGGGCUGAAGUAGGUCCCAAGGGUAUGGCUGUUCGCCAUUUAAAGUGGUACGCGAGCUGGGUUUAGAACGUCGUGAGACAGUUCGGUCCCUAUCUGCCGUGGGCGUUGGAAGAUUGAGAGGGGUUGCUCCUAGUACGAGAGGACCGGAGUGAACGCACCACUGGUGUUCGGGUUGUCAUGCCAAUGGCAUUGCCCGGUAGCUAAGUGCGGAAAAGAUAAGCGCUGAAAGCAUCUAAGCGCGAAACUUGCCUCAAGAUGAGUCUUCCCUGGGCCUUUAAGGCCCCUGAAGGAACGUUUAAGACUAAGACGUUGAUAGGCUGGGUGUGUAAGUGCAGCGAUGCAUUGAGCUAACCAGUACUAAUGAUCCGUGAGGCUUAACCUU